AAUAGAUACCCCCGGUAGUCCACGCCGUAAACGAUGAGUGCUAAGUGUUAGAGGGUUUCCGCCCUUUAGUGCUGCAGCUAACGCAUUAAGCACUCCGCCUGGGGAGUACGGUCGCAAGACUGAAACUCAAAGGAAUUGACGGGGGCCCGCACAAGCGGUGGAGCAUGUGGUUUAAUUCGAAGCAACGCGAAGAACCUUACCAGGUCUUGACAUCCUCUGACAACUCUAGAGAUAGAGCGUUCCCCUUCGGGGGACAGAGUGACAGGUGGUGCAUGGUUGUCGUCAGCUCGUGUCGUGAGAUGUUGGGUUAAGUCCCGCAACGAGCGCAACCCUUGAUCUUAGUUGCCAGCAUUUAGUUGGGCACUCUAAGGUGACUGCCGGUGACAAACCGGAGGAAGGUGGGGAUGACGUCAAAUCAUCAUGCCCCUUAUGACCUGGGCUACACACGUGCUACAAUGGAUGGUACAAAGGGCUGCAAGACCGCGAGGUCAAGCCAAUCCCAUAAAACCAUUCUCAGUUCGGAUUGUAGG
rnacentral:rRNA from 1 species